UACGAAGGGAGCAAGCGUUGUCCGGAUUUAUUGGGCGUAAAGAGCGUGUAGGCGGUUCGGUAAGUCUGUCGUGAAAUCCUGGGGCUCAACCUCGGGCGUGCGAUGGAUACUGCCGGGCUAGAGGGUGGUAGAGGCGAGUGGAAUUCCCGGUGUAGCGGUGAAAUGCGCAGAUAUCGGGAGGAACACCAGUAGCGAAGGCGGCUCGCUGGGCCACACCUGACGCUGAGACGCGAAAGCUAGGGGAGCGAACAGG
rnacentral:rRNA from 1 species